AGCCCUUCAUCUCCUCGCAGCCCAGCGACACCGUGCAGCUGGUGGUAGCAGGGCGCCCGGAUUUCACCCACACCAACAUCACCCGCCUGGCGCUGAGCGCCGCGGUCCUGCUCAUCCUGGGGCUGAUCCUGGCUGAGUCCUGUUACAGCCGCCCGAGGGAGGUGUCCUAGGAGCCUGCAUCCAGCCGUGUGGAGAAGAGAAUCUCCCCAGAGACAAGCCGCUUCCCCUCGGGGGCUGAGACGCCAACACAACCUCCCCUGCCCCCAAACACCCCUGCCUUGGAGAAUCCCCCCGACUGCUCCCACCCCGACGGUCACACCCCAGGAUCGAACCCCGGCCCCCAGCCGAGAGGGUGCUGGGCUGGACUCACUAGACCCCACUGACCUCCCAGAGCCAGGGGGAGAACCCAGGAGUCCUGGCUCGCAGGUGGAUGCAAUAAACAAGGCAGCUGCUGAUGACAUGUCCUGCCAUCCGGACUAGGGGGUUCAGGCGCAGCGUGGGGUACAAACCGACCCCUAGAUGCAGGCGGCUUUUAUUUGUGGGGGAGGGAAAGUGGGCAGGAAAGAGUGGACGGGGUCAGGGGCAAGCGUGAGGUGCCGGACGUCAGGCGAGGCCGCCCCUUGGCAGUAGCAC